UGCAUUCACUAUUGUAAGUCGCUCUGGAUAAGAACGUCUGCUAAAUGACUAAAA
rfam:Salmo salar isolate Sally breed double haploid chromosome ssa09, whole genome shotgun sequence.